rnacentral:lncRNA from 1 species
CAUAUUACCACCACCCAGUGUCCUCACAAGUCAUGAUAGUCAUCAUGAUGCAGCUAGAGUUAUAAAGACCAGAGUUUGACUCCCAGCCUUUGAAAACGAUGUUCCUUGGGGGUAGGAGCAUGCUCUCACCCUUGUCUUCUAACUAUCUCUCUCAUCCUUUAAGACUCAGUUCAGAACUUGACUCUUCAGGGGAAGGCUUCUCUGAGUCCUGAAGCUGGCUGCCUCACUCACAGCUUUCUCUGCAACGGGUGCCUCCACAAUUGUGAUGGAGAAUGACAUGCCCCAGCAUAAUGCCUAAACCCAAGUGUCAACCUGCCCUUGACAGAGAAGAGAACCCCAAAUGAAUCUCCCAGGCAACACAAGCUGACCCAACAUAGCAGAGCAAGUCACCUUUGAGGAGAAAGAAUGAUGCUUAUUUUCUCCUCCAAAGACCUACUUGGAAAGUAGACAUGAUUUAUUACAAAUCUCUUCC